rnacentral:rRNA from 1 species
GGAGUUAGGAAAUGUAGGCAUGCUAAUAUCGUGUCUAUUUGACAAAGGCUCCAAAGGAAGCCACGGCUAACUCUGUGCCAGCAGCCGCGGUAAUACAGAGGUGGCAAGCGUUGUUCGGAAUUAUUGGGCGUAAAGAGCACGUAGGUGGAUUUGUAAGUCAGAUGUGAAAGCCUUCUGUUCAACGGGAGAAUUGCAUCUGAAACUACAAACCUU